GCCUCCUCCAGGCGCUCCCCCAGUUUGAACGCAGGAACCAGAACCACAGCACCGCUCCUCCUCCAGGUGCUCCCCCCAGCUCGAGUGCAGGAACCAGAUCUCUCCUCUAGGUGCUCCCCCAUCUCUCGCCACCUCCCUAGCCGACGCAAUCGACAAAUUGGAACCCAAUCUUGAGUCUCCAGGUCACGAUAAAAGAUGAAGAAAUUUUUGGAAGAGUUCAGUGAAGAAGAUGAUGAGGGUUUAGUUUAAAGAAGAUGUUAUUGUGGGUUAAUUUGCAGAAUAUGGAUGUGCAAGCAGGGACACAAUAAGGGCUUGGAAUUUUAUGGAUGCCCGAGAUACAAGGGACCUAAUUGCAAGGGUUGCAACUUCUUCGAAUGGGUGGGUGAUGAUAAGAACAUCACAAAAAGGCUGGAAAUGUUGGAAAAAAAUGUUAAGGUUUUGAAAAAAAUGCUGAAUGGUGUAAUUUUAUAUUUAAAAUUUAUAAGUAUCGUUGUACUAAUAUUGUUGCUUUGCGUUAUAGUCAAAUGACUGAGCAUCAUAUCAGUCAUUAAUGACUGAUGUAUCCAAAUAUCCUAUUAUAAACGACUGUUCAAACUGGUUAUGGUUAAUUGUUAUGGUUCAGUUGUUAUGGUUCAAUUGUAAAUGACUGAGGUAUUGUUGUGUUU